UCCUACGGGAGGCAGCAGCGAGGAAUCUUGGGCAAUGGGCGAAAGCCUGACCCAGCGACGCCGCGUGAGGGAAGAAGGCCUUCGGGUCGUAAACCUCUUUUGUCGGGGAAGAAGUUCUGACGGUACCUGACGAAUAAGCCACGGCUAACUACGUGCCAGCAGCCGCGGUA
rnacentral:rRNA from 1 species